rnacentral:rRNA from 1 species
UACAGAGGUCUCAAGCGUUGUUCGGAAUUACUGGGCGUAAAGGGCGCGUAGGCGGUUCGUUAAGUCCUGUGUGAAAUCCCACGGCUCAACCGUGGAAGUGCACUCGAAACUGCAUAGCUAGAGUCCUGGAGAGGAAGGUGGAAUGCUUGGUGUAGAGGUGAAAUUCGUAGAUAUCAAGCGGAACACCGGUGGCGAAGGCGGCCUUCUGGACAGUGACUGACGCUGAGACGCGAAAGCGUGGGGAGCAAACAGG